GCUGUAGGUUCCGGGCUCCGUGCCUUUGCUCCCAGCCUAGGUCAGGGUCCGGGACCGGGUCCGAGUCUGAGUCCGGUUCUGAUUCUGGGCUGGGCCGGGCUAGAGCCCACGGCCCCCCGCCCGCGCCAUGUUCGUGACUGACUUUCGCCGAGAUUUCUACGACGUGAUUCAGACAGAGCGAGUUCUCCUCUUCGUUGCUUCUGAUGUCGAUGCGUUAUGUGCCUGCAAAAUUCUUCAGGCCUUGUUCCAGUGUGACCACGUCCAGUACACCUUAGUUCCCGUUUCCGGGUGGCAGGAACUCGAAACCUCAUUUCUGGAACACAAAGACCAGUUCCACUAUUUUAUUCUCAUAAACUGUGGGGCCAAUGUUGACCUCUUAGAUAUCCUGCAGCCCGAAGAGGACAGGAUUUUCUUCAUUUGUGAUACCCACCGGCCCGUCAAUGUCGUGAAUGUUUACAAUGACACCCAGAUAAAGCUGCUCAUUAAACAAGAUGACGACCUGGAGGUCCCCGCUUACGACGACAUCUUCAGAGACGACGAAGAGGAGGACGAGGAGGAUGAAGAGCAGUCGGGCAGUGAGAGCGAGGGCUCAGAGCCUUCUGGGAAACGCACACGGCGUGAAGAGGACGUGAUCGAGCGCACCCUGAAGAGGAGGCAGCGAAGAGAGUGGGAGGCCCGCAGGAAGGAAAUCCUCUUUGACUACGAGCAGUAUGAGUACCACGGGACCUCAUCCGCCAUGGUGAUGUUUGACCUGGCCUGGGUCAUGUCGAAGGACCUCAAUGACAUGUUGUGGUGGGCCAUUGUGGGGCUGACUGACCAGUGGAUACAAGAUAAGAUCACUCAGAUGAAAUACGUGACGGACAUAGGGAUCCUGCAGCGCCAUGUCUCCCGCCACAACCACCGCAACGAGGACGAGGAGAACUCCCUCUCCAUCGACUGCACGCGGAUAGCCUUCGAAUACGACCUGCGGCUGGCCCUCUACCAGCACUGGUCCCUGUACGACAGCCUCUGCAACACGUGCUACACGGCCUCCAGGCUCAGGCUGUGGUCGGUACAGGGCCAGAAGCGGCUGCAGGAGUUUCUGGCGGACAUGGGGCUCCCGCUGAAGCAGGUGAAGCAGAAGUUUCAGGCCAUGGAUGUUUCCCUGAAAGAGAAUCUGCGGGAAAUCCUCGAGGAGUCCGCCAACAAAUUUGGGAUGAAGGACAUGCGGGUGCAGACUUUCAGCAUCCACUUCGGGUUCAAGAACAAGUUCCUGGCCAGUGACGUGGUCUUCGCCACCACCUCCCUGCUGGAGAGCAUCGAGAAGGACGCCUCCGGCACGGACAACUUCAUCCGGGCCUUGGACAGCCUCUCCAGGAGUAACCUGGAGCAGCUCUACCAGGGCCUGGAGCUGGCCAAGAAGCAGCUGCGGGCCAUCCACCAGACCGUGGCCAGCUGCAUCUGCACCAACCUCGUCAUCUCCCAGGGGCCCUUCCUCUACUGCUACCUCAUGGAGGGCACGCCGGACGUCAAGCUGUUCUCCAAGCCGGCCUCCCUGGGCCUGCUCAGCAAGUACCUGCUGCAGUCCUUCAUUUGUUCGACCAAGAACAAGCGUUGUAAGCUGCUGCCCUUGGUGAUGGCGGCCCCCAUGAGUCUGGAGCGCGGCACCAUGAUUGUGGUGGGGAUCCCCCCUGAGACGGAGAGCUCCGACAAGAAGAACUUUUUCGGGCGGGCGUUCGAGAAGGCGGCCGAGAGCACGAGCUCCAGGACUUUGCACAAUCAUUUUGACAUGUCUGGCUCCCCAAUUCCCACGUUCUGACCCCCAAACCACGCCCGGAGUACAUGCUCUGCCUUACCAGGACCCUCCUAGCUCUUCCUAUCCUGCUUCUUCAUCCUUAAAAUGGGAGAAUCAAAUGUAAACUGCCUGCCUUCCCACACUGUCCCGAGGACAGAGCCUUGUCAGGCACAAAGCACUAUGGGAACGGGGGGCGGUUCUUCUCCUCCACCUGGGGGAGAGCACCUAGGAGUGGAAGCAGGUCCUGGGUCCCCACGCUGGCUCACCUGCUACUCCCCUGUGUGACCCUGGCUGACCAUAGACCUUCCUAGACCUCAACUUUCUCAUGUAAAAUGAGGGGGACCAGAGAGAUAAACCCCACAAGCUCCCUCCCAGCCCUGACACUCCCUGUUCAAGCCCCUCCCUCCCUGACACUCCCUGUUCAAGCCCCUCCCUCCCUGACGCCCCCUGUUCCAAGCCCCCUCCCAGCCCCAAUGUCCUCUGCUGUCCCACCCUGGGCCUGUGGUCCUCUCCCCGCUCCGAGCCUCUGAGGAGCGCGCUGUGGGUCCCAGCCAGGAGGGGGUGUCCUAGUCUUUCUUUUGAAGAAAGGCCCGGCUCCUGCGCGCAAGGCCGGGAGCUCCUCACUGACCCCGUCCGGGUUCCCUCCCCUCAGUCUGGGGCAGAGCCAGAGCCCAGCAGGGGCCCAGCGGCCGCUGUAACUGGGGGGCACCUUCCCCUGCGGGGCCUGGCUGCCCCCUUCACAUCCUCGGGCCUCCAGGCUUCGGUCAUUGAGCUCAAAGUGGAAGACCGAGGCAAGUUCCUGGACGCCCUGAUUUCCCUGCUCUCCUGAGGCUCUUGGAGUCCUCCCGACGCUCUUGGAGUCCUCCCGACGCUCUUGGAGUCCUCCCGACGGCUCUCUACGUUCGUCUGGAUUGUAAAUACUGGCUGCGCGUUUGUGCCGCUUUUAUGGACUUGCUUUUAGAGACUGUAAAUUAUUCCUGAGAUUUUAGCUCCAGGGAAGGCCAUUCUACCCUGGAAAUGCAAUAAAGUGUCCGUGGACUUGGA